rnacentral:rRNA from 1 species
UUAACACAUGCAAGUCGAGCGGGCGUAGCAAUACGUCAGCGGCAGACGGGUGAGUAACGCGUGGGAACAUACCUUUUGGUUCGGAACAACCCAGGGAAACUUGGGCUAAUACCGGAUAAGCCCUUACGGGGAAAGAUUUAUCGCCGAAAGAUUGGCCCGCGUCUGAUUAGCUAGUUGGUGAGGUAACGGCUCACCAAGGCGACGAUCAGUAGCUGGUCUGAGAGGAUGAUCAGCCACAUUGGGACUGAGACACGGCCCAAACUCCUACGGGAGGCAGCAGUGGGGAAUAUUGGACAAUGGGCGAAAGCCUGAUCCAGCCAUGCCGCGUGAGUGAUGAAGGCCCUAGGGUUGUAAAGCUCUUUUGUGCGGGAAGAUAAUGACGGUACCGCAAGAAUAAGCCCCGGCUAACUUCGUGCCAGCAGCCGCGGUAAUACGAAGGGGGCUAGCGUUGCUCGGAAUCACUGGGCGUAAAGGGUGCGUAGGCGGGUCUUUAAGUCAGGGGUGAAAUCCUGGAGCUCAACUCCAGAACUGCCUUUGAUACUGAAGAUCUUGAGUUCGGGAGAGGUGAGUGGAACUGCGAGUGUAGAGGUGAAAUUCGUAGAUAUUCGCAAGAACACCAGUGGCGAAGGCGGCUCACUGGCCCGAUACUGACGCUGAGGCACGAAAGCGUGGGGAGCAAACAGGAUUAGAUACCCUGGUAGUCCACGCCGUAAACGAUGAACACUAGGUGUUGGUGGAGUCGAAUCCGUCGGUGCCGCAGUUAACGCGUUAAGUGUUCCGCCUGGGGAGUACGGCCGCAAGGCUAAAACUCAAAUGAAUUGACGGGG